rnacentral:tRNA from 1 species
GCAUUGGUGGUUCAGUAGUAGAAUUCUUGCCUUCCAUGCAGGAACCCUGGGUUUGAUUCUAGCCAAUGCA